AGAAAGCAAGAAAUAAAGAUAUGAAAUGAUUCACGGUAUUGAAUAAAGUUGGCUGGAAGUGGGGUUAUUAGCCCACAACUCAAUGAGUCACUUCAACACCAUGGCUGCUGCUUUCUUCUGCUGUAUAAGCUAGGAACCCAAGGCCUUGAAUCGUCAGCUGAAGGUCUGGGUUGCAUGAGCAUGUCAGCCUUCUAUGGUCCACCUAAAUCUGAACCAGAAAUGAUCAACCUUAUCCACCAUGCCAUCAACAGUGGAGUCACUUUCCUUGACACGUCAGAUGUUUAUGGUUCACAUACUAAUGAAAUCCUUCUAGGAAAAUUGGCUACUAAAUUUGGUGCUUGUUUUGUUGAUGGUAAAAGGGAAUCGGGGGUGGCCCUGCUUAUUUAAGAGCAGCAUGUGAAGCUAGCUUGAAACGACUUGGUUUGGACUGGAUUGAUCUUUAUCAUCAGCAUCGGGUUGACACCAAGGUCGCUAUUGAAAUCACGAAAUCAGUUGAGGAAGGUAAAAUAAAGUAUAUAUGUCUAUCUGAGGCAUCUGGUUCAAGAAUCAGAAGAGCUCAUGCAGUUCAUCCAAUAACUGCAGUGCAAUUGUAAUGGUCUUUGUGGGCUAGAGAUGUUGAGGAAGAAAUAGUUCCUACUUGCGGGUUAGCCAUGGAGCAUAGGAUUAUAAGCUAACUAUGUUGCUCGGAAUCUUUGUUUUUCUUUAAAUACCCAUUAUAACCCCUCUCAACAACAAAUGUUUUUUAACUUAUUUGAA